rnacentral:tRNA from 1 species
GGAAGCGUGCCUGAGAAAAUAAGGACUACCUUGAUAGCGUAGACACGGACCACAAACCCACUUCCC